rnacentral:rRNA from 1 species
CCUACGGGAGGCUGCAGUGGGGAAUAUUGGACAAUGGGGGGAACCCUGAUCCAGCCAUGCCGCGUGUGUGAAGAAGGCCCUCGGGUUGUAAAGCACUUUCAGUGAGGAAGAACGCCUGGUGGUUAAUACCCAUCAGGAAAGACAUCACUCACAGAAGAAGCACCGGCUAACUCCGUGCCAGCAGCCGCGGUAAUACGGAGGGUGCGAGCGUUAAUCGGAAUUACUGGGCGUAAAGCGCGCGUAGGUGGCUUGAUAAGCCGGUUGUGAAAGCCCCGGGCUCAACCUGGGAACGGCAUCCGGAACUGUCAAGCUAGAGUGCAGGAGAGGAAGGUAGAAUUCCCGGUGUAGCGGUGAAAUGCGUAGAGAUCGGGAGGAAUACCAGUGGCGAAGGCGGCCUUCUGGACUGACACUGACACUGAGGCGCGAAAGCGUGGGUAGCAAACAGGAUUAGAUACCCCUGUAGUC